CCUACGGGUGGCUGCAGUGGGGAAUAUUGGACAAUGGGCGAAAGCCUGAUCCAGCCAUGCCGCGUGUGUGAAGAAGGCCUUCGGGUUGUAAAGCACUUUCAGUGGGGAAGAAAGCCUUGGGGCUAAUACCCUCGAGGAAGGACAUCACCCACAGAAGAAGCACCGGCUAACUCCGUGCCAGCAGCCGCGGUAAUACGGAGGGUGCGAGCGUGAAUCGGAAUUACUGGGCGUAAAGCGCGCGUAGGCGGUCUGAUAAGCCGGUUGUGAAAGCCCCGGGCUCAACCUGGGAACGGCAUCCGGAACUGUCAGGCUAGAGUGCAGGAGAGGAAGGUAGAAUUCCCGGUGUAGCGGUGAAAUGCGUAGAGAUCGGGAGGAAUACCAGUGGCGAAGGCGGCCUUCUGGACUGACACUGACGCUGAGGUGCGAAAGCGUGGGUAGCAAACAGGAUUAGAUACCCUAGUAGUC
rnacentral:rRNA from 1 species